rnacentral:rRNA from 1 species
AUUGAACGCUGGCGGCAUGCCUUACACAUGCAAGUCGAACGGUAACGCGGGGCAACCUGGCGACGAGUGGCGAACGGGUGAGUAAUGCAUCGGAACGUGCCUGGUAGUGGGGGAUAACUGCUCGAAAGAGCAGCUAAUACCGCAUACGACCUGAGGGUGAAAGGGGGGGAUCGCAAGACCUCUCGCUAUCAGAGCGGCCGAUGUCGGAGUAGCUAGUUGGUGGGGUAAUGGCCCACCAAGGCAACGAUCCGUAGCUGGUCUGAGAGGACGACCAGCGACACUGGGACUGAGACACGGCCCAGACUCCUACGGGAGGCAGCAGUGGGGAAUUUUGGACAAUGGACGCAAGUCUGAUCCAGCCAUGCCGCGUGCGGGAAGAAGGCCUUCGGGUUGUAAACCGCUUUUGUCAGGGAAGAAAUCUUCUGGGCUAAUACCCUGGGAGGAUGACGGUACCUGAAGAAUAAGCACCGGCUAACUACGUGCCAGCAGCCGCCGUAAAAC